AGAACAAGGGUUCAACCCUAGUUGCUAAAUUCAGCCAAAUUAGAAGAAAUUUCAAAGAUAAUAGAUUGCAUGAAUUCAAGUUUCGAUCAUCUAAGCUCACAUAUUGAAUUAGCGUGAAAGAGGAAGGUUCAAGUACUAGGAAAACGGAAGACUCACAAGAUCGAGGUAAAUCCUCAACUUAAAUGGCUUGGCGACUUGGAAUGAACACACACGAACCACGCCCACCUUGCGCUUUCAAAGUUAUCUAUUUUGAUUAGUCCUAACUUUUGUCUUAUGUAUCACCGACAUGUGUAAACUUUGGUCGUUACUAUGUUUUGCAAAAACAUAGUUUGUUAGUAAACCUUGUAACUAAACAAC